rnacentral:rRNA from 1 species
CCGUAGGCGGCUCUCUUUCUCCUUCUUCCCUGGUCUUCCCUCUCGUUCCUUCUUUUCUUUCCUUUUUUCUUUCCCUCUCCCUUCUCCCCUUUUCUCUUUCUUUCCCUCCUCCCGGACUUGAGCUCGAUAGAGGAAAAUGGAAUUCCCGGUGGAGUGGUGAAAUGCGGAGAGAUGUGGAGGAAAACCGAUGGCGAAGGCAGCCCCCUGGGAUGACACUGACGAGAAUGUACGAAAGAGGGGGUAGCAAAAAG